AUGUAGCGCAGCGGUAGCGCAUCUGUUUUGGGAACAGAAAGUCGUAGGUUCGAUCCCUAUCAUCCCGAUUCACCA
rnacentral:tRNA from 1 species